rnacentral:rRNA from 1 species
AUUGAUUUUAUGCUUGCAUAAAUGAUUUUUGGAUUCGGAGCGAGUGGCGAACUGGUGAGUAACACGUGGGUAACCUGCCCCGAAGCGGGGGAUAACAUUUGGAAACAAGUGCUAAUACCGCAUAAUUAGUUGGAACCGCAUGGUUCCAACUUGAAAGAUGGCUCUGCUAUCACUUUGGGAUGGACCCGCGCCGUAUUAGUUAGUUGGUGAGAUAAAAGCCCACCAAGACGAUGAUACGUAGCCGACCUGAGAGGGUAAUCGGCCACAUUGGGACUGAGACACGGCCCAGACUCCUACGGGAGGCAGCAGUAGGGAAUCUUCCACAAUGGACGAAAGUCUGAUGGAGCAACGCCGCGUGAGUGAUGAAGGUUUUCGGAUCGUAAAACUCUGUUGUUAAAGAAGAACAAGUGUUAGAGUAACUGUUAACACUUUGACGGUAUUUAACCAGAAAGCCACGGCUAACUACGUGCCAGCAGCCGCGGUAAUACGUAGGUGGCAAGCGUUGUCCGGAUUUAUUGGGCGUAAAGCGAGCGCAGGCGGUUUUGUAAGUCUGCUGUGAAAGCCCUCAGCUCAACUGAGGAAGUGCAGUGGAAACUACAAAACUUGAGUACAGAAGAGGAAAGUGGAACUCCAUGUGUAGCGGUGAAAUGCGUAGAUAUAUGGAAGAACACCAGUGGCGAAGGCGGCUUUCUGGUCUGUUACUGACGCUGAGGCUCGAAAGCAUGGGUAGCGAACAGGAUUAGAUACCCUGGUAGUCCAUGCCGUAAACGAUGAAUACUAGGUGUUGGAGGGUUUCCGCCCUUCAGUGCCGCAGCUAACGCAUUAAGUAUUCCGCCUGGGGAGUACGACCGCAAGGUUGAAACUCAAAAGAAUUGACGGGGGCCCGCACAAGUGGUGGAGCAUGUGGUUUAAUUCGAUGCUACGCGAAGAACCUUACCAGCUCUUGACAUCUUCUGCCAACCCAAGAGAUUGGGCGUUCCCUUCGGGGACAGAAUGACAGGUGGUGCAUGGUUGUCGUCAGCUCGUGUCGUGAGAUGUUGGGUUAAGUCCCGCAACGAGCGCAACCCUUAUUAUUAGUUGCCAGCAUUUAGUUGGGCACUCUAGUGAGACUGCCGGUGAUAAA